AAGUGCUGAAAUUGGUCUAACCCAUUUUUUGCCUGCCAAGUGGGGAGCUUUAACUCAUCAACCUUUUUGGGAUUUGAUGAUGAAAACAAUAAAUCAAUGUGAUUCCACUAUCAUUUGAUUGGCUGUGUGGUUCACUCCUAAAAUACUACAAUAUAAUUCAUUGAAUAAUUUUUAAACUUCUUUGAUUUUUAAAUUAUAUAUUGUUGAGUAUAUUUUCUUAAAUAU
rnacentral:lncRNA from 1 species